rnacentral:tRNA from 2 species
GGCCCCUUAGCUCAGCUGGAUAGAGCAUCCGCCUUCUAAGCGGAAUGUCGCACGUUCGAGUCGUGCAGGGGUCG